rnacentral:lncRNA from 1 species
UUCAGGCAACCAUGCUGUAAUAAAGCUAAUUGAUUGGUGGAUUAGAAUUCUGGGUGGCUAGGGGUGAUAGGGAACAAGACAGAUGAGGUUGAUUUGGCUUGAUCCUGCCAAAGAAAUUUACUUCUAUUUUGAAAAAUGAACACAUGUUCUUAGAUGUGCAGGGUUAAGUUUCCAAAUGCGAGGUUUAUAGCAAAUCAAAGAGGAUCAAGAGAAUCAUAGUACGAUAGUACAGUAGGAUAAGCAUGUAUGACUGUAGGAUAAUACAGUUUGAAGAAUGAUGAUGGUAUGGUUCUCAUAUAUAGAGGACGGUGGUUGACUCAAAAGAGUUUAUCACCUCAAAAAUUUCCAUUCUUGGAAUAACUUGCCUUAUUAGAAGUCCAUCAACAUCUCUGGCAUCUUCAGUACUACUUACGGCAGCUGCACAAGUGUUAUUCAUGAUAUAGCAACCUUUUAGAUAUAUUUCUUGUUGUCCCGGACUCCCUGUUAAAACAUAAGUGCUUUUGCAGGCUUACAAGAAAUGGAUUUUGAAGACCAUCUAACUAUCU